rnacentral:rRNA from 1 species
GUGCCAGCCGCCGCGGUAAUACGGAGGGUGCAAGCGUUAUCCGGAUUCACUGGGUUUAAAGGGAGCGUAGGUGGGCUGGUAAGUCAGUGGUGAAAUCUCCGGGCUUAACUCGGAAACUGCCGUUGAUACUAUCAGUCUUGAAUGUUGUGGAGGUAAGCGGAAUAUGUCAUGUAGCGGUGAAAUGCUUAGAUAUGACAUAGAACACCGAUAGCGAAGGCAGCUUGCUACACAAUUAUUGACACUGAGGCUCGAAAGCGUGGGGAUCAAACAGGAUUAGAAACCCGGGUAGUCC